AGUCGUAACAAGGUUUCUGUAGGUGAACCUGCAGAAGGAUCAUUAGUGAAAGUUUCGGGCCUGCCAUACGGACGCAAACACGUCUCUGGCGCCCAUCACUAUAUCCAUACCAACCCCUGUGCACUGUGAUGACGAAUGUCAUCGAACAAAAAAAAACUCGUAUGGUUGAAUGUACGUGAAAUUGUAGGUAUAGCCUACGAACUAUACACAACUUUCGACAACGGAUCUCUUGGUUCUCCCAUCGAUGAAGAACGCAGCGAAACGCGAUAGGUAAUGUGAAUUGCAGAAUUCCGUGAAUCAUCGAAUCUUUGAACGCACCUUGCGCUCCAUGGUAUUCCGUGGAGCAUGCCUGUUUGAGUGCCGCGAAUUCUCCCUCCCCUUACGGUGGCCGAAAGGCCGAAGUAGGGCGGACGGGGUAGGAUGGGUGUUUGCUGCCUGGGGAUUGUACCAGGCUCGCCCGAAAUGCAUAAGCGCCAGGACCCUCGCUACCGCUCUCUAGGGAAGAGUGGCUAAGCGACCGCUGAGCAUGGCAUGAUACGUCAUUUGCUGUGUGUGGGCGGCCGGUUGGAGAGGUGUCUGCUUUACCAGCCCUAUUUUAAUUCUGGUCUCAAAUCAGGUAGGAUCACCCGCUGAACUUAAGCAUAUCAAU
rnacentral:misc_RNA from 1 species